GACGAACGCUGGCGGCGUGCUUAACACAUGCAAGUCGAGCGGUAAGGCUCCUUCGGGAGUACACGAGCGGCGAACGGGUGAGUAACACGUGAGUAAUCUGCCCUUCACUUCGGGAUAACCACCGGAAACGGUGGCUAAUACCGAAUACGACCAGUCUUCGCAUGAGGUGCUGGUGGAAAGUCUUUUCGGUGAAGGAUGUGCUCGCGGCCUAUCAGCUUGUUGGUGGGGUAAUGGCCUACCAAGGCUUCGACGGGUAGCCGGCCUGAGAGGGUGACCGGCCACACUUGGACUGAGACACGGCCCAGACUCCUACGGGAGGCAGCAGUGGGGUAUAUUGGACAAUGGGCGAAAGCCUGAUCCAGCAACGCCGCGUGAGGGAUGACGGCCUUCGGGUUGUAAACCUCUUUCAGUACCGACGAAGCGCCCUGUCGGGUGGUGACGGUAGGUACAGAAGAAGGACCGGCCAACUACGUG
rnacentral:rRNA from 1 species